UUUCUCAGCGGCGGACGGGUGAGUAACACGUGGGCAACCUGCCCUACAGACUGGGAUAACUCCGGGAAACCGGAGCUAAUACCGGGUAAUACAUAGCAUCGCAUGAUGCAACGUUGAAAGUUGGCCUUUGGCUAACACUGUAGGAUGGGCCCGCGGCGCAUUAGCUAGUUGGUAAGGUAACGGCUUACCAAGGCCACGAUGCGUAGCCGACCUGAGAGGGUGAUCGGCCACACUGGGACUGAGACACGGCCCAGACUCCUACGGGAGGCAGCAGUAGGGAAUCUUCCGCAAUGGACGAAAGUCUGACGGAGCAACGCCGCGUGAGUGACGAAGGCCUUCGGGUCGUAAAGCUCUGUUGUUAGGGAAGAACAAGUACCGUUCGAAUAGGGCGGUACCUUGACGGUACCUAACCAGAAAGCCACGGCUAACUACGUGCCAGCAGCCGCGGUAAUACGUAGGUGGCAAGCGUUGUCCGGAAUUAUUGGGCGUAAAGCGCGCGCAGGCGGUCUCUUAAGUCUGAUGUGAAAGCCCACGGCUCAACCGUGGAGGGCCAUUGGAAACUGGGGGACUUGAGUGCAGAAGAGGAGAGUGGAAUUCCUCGUGUAGCGGUGAAAUGCGUAGAUAUGUGGAGGAACACCAGUGGCGAAGGCGGCUCUCUGGUCUGUAACUGACGCUGAGGCGCGAAAGCGUGGGGAGCGAACAGGAUUAGAUACCCUGGUAGUCCACGCCGUAAACGAUGAGUGCUAGGUGUUGGGGGGCUUCCACCCUCAGUGCUGAAGUUAACACAUUAAGCACUCCGCCUGGGGAGUACGACCGCAAGGUUGAAACUCAAAGGAAUUGAC
rnacentral:rRNA from 1 species